rnacentral:rRNA from 1 species
GCCUACGGCCAUACCACCCUGAGAACACCUGAUCUCAUCUGACCUCGGAAGCUAGGCAGGGUGAGGCCCGGUUAGUACUUGGAUGGGAGACUGACAGGGUAUACCGGGUGCUGUAACAA